GAUGAACGCUAGCGGCAGGCUUAAUACAUGCAAGUCGUGGGGCAGCAUGAAUGUAGCAAUACAUUUGAUGGCGACCGGUAAACGGGUGCGGAACACGUACACAACCUUCCUAUAAGUGGGGAAUAGCCCAGAGAAAUUUGGAUUAAUACCCCGUAACAUAAUGAUGUGGCAUCACAUUAUUAUUAUAGCUUCGGCGCUUAUUGAUGGGUGUGCGGCUGAUUAGAUAGUUGGCGGGGUAACGGCCCACCAAGUCUACGAUCAGUAGCUGAUGUGAGAGCAUGAUCAGCCACACGGGCACUGAGACACGGGCCCGACUCCUACGGGAGGCGGCAGUAAGGAAUAUUGGUCAAUGGACGCAAGUCUGAACCAGCCAUGCCGCGUGAAGGAUUAAGGUCCUCUGGAUUGUAAACUUCUUUUAUCUGGGACGAAAAAAGGCGAUUCUUCGUCACUUGACGGUACCAGAUGAAUAAGCACCGGCUAACUCCGUGCCAGCCGCCGCCGUAAAAC
rnacentral:rRNA from 1 species